AUGGGCACAAAAAUAAAAAGAGAAAAUGGUCUGAUUGAUAUGAUGCAAGUGGUAUCAUUUUUUGAACGGAAAAAGUCAGAAGAUCCACUAUUUUUCUACUCAUUCAAAACGGAUCCAAAGAAGAAUGUGAUGCAUAUAUUUUGGGCAGAUGGCACUGGAAUAAGGAACUAUCAACAGUAUGGCGAUCUUCUCAGUUUCGACACAACCUACAAGACCAACAAAUACAAUAUGAAAUUUGCUCCAUUUGUGGGAGUAAAUGGUCAUGGAGACAACUGCCUUUUUGCAUGUGGUUUCAUUCAAGAUGAGAAGAAGGAAACAUUCGAGUGGCUCUUCAAAACAUUUCUGAAAUGCAUGGGAGGGAAAGGUCCUAAUCUUUCAUAA
rnacentral:rRNA from 1 species